rnacentral:misc_RNA from 1 species
UUUCCGUAGGUGAACCUGCGGAAGGAUCAUUACUAACGUAUCCACGUAUAAACCAAAACAGUUGAAUUUGUUUCAAUUCGUCCGUUAGGCUGGGAAUGGUUGUUGGACGGUAGUUCGUUCAAUGAUUUCGCGAUCUUAACUGAUUGUACCCUACCUAGUUCGCGAAUUUUUUACUAAACUAAAUUUUUAACCCAUUUCACCCAAUCUCAAUAUGAACUUAAACUGAUUUAGAAAGGAGACUUUCUGAAUUAAAAAAAUACGAAAUUAAGAACAACUCUUAACAACGGAUAUCUUGGCUCUC